AUUGAACGCUGGCGGCAGGCCUAACACAUGCAAGUCGAGCGGAUGAAGGGAGCUUGCUCCUGGAUUCAGCGGCGGACGGGUGAGUAAUGCCUAGGAAUCUGCCUGGUAGUGGGGGAUAACGUCCGGAAACGGGCGCUAAUACCGCAUACGUCCUGAGGGAGAAAGAGGGGGAUCUUCGGACCUCACGCUAUCAGAUGAGCCUAGGUCGGAUUAGCUAGUUGGUGGGGUAAAGGCCUACCAAGGCGACGAUCCGUAACUGGUCUGAGAGGAUGAUCAGUCACACUGGAACUGAGACACGGUCCAGACGCCUACGGGAGGCAGCAGUGGGGAAUAUUGGACAAUGGGCGAAAGCCUGAUCCAGCCAUGCCGCGUGUGUGAAGAAGGUCUUCGGAUUGUAAAGCACUUUAAGUUGGGAGGAAGGGCAGUAAGUUAAUACCUUGCUGUUUUGACGUUACCAACAGAAUAAGCACCGGCUAACUUCGUG
rnacentral:rRNA from 1 species